UACGAAGGGUGCAAGCGUUAAUCGGAAUUACUGGGCGUAAAGAGCUCGUAGGCGGUUUGUCGCGUCUGUCGUGAAAGCUUGGGGCUUAACCCCAAGUCUGCGGUGGAUACGGGCAGACUAGAGGCAGGUAGGGGAGAACGGAAUUCCCGGUGUAGCGGUGAAAUGCGCGGAUAUCGGGAGGAACACCGGUGGCGAAGGCGGUUCUCUGGGCCUGUACUGACGCUGAGGAGCGAAAGCGUGGGGAGCGAACAGG
rnacentral:rRNA from 1 species